rnacentral:rRNA from 1 species
GGCGUAAAGCGCGCGCAGGCGGUCUUUUAAGUCUGAUGUGAAAGCCCCCGGCUCAACCGGGGAGGGUCAUUGGAAACUGGGAGACUUGAGUACAGAAGAGGAGAGUGGAAUUCCACGUGUAGCGGUGAAAUGCGUAGAUAUGUGGAGGAACACCAGUGGCGAAGGCGACUCUCUGGUCUGUAACUGACGCUGAGGCGCGAAAGCGUGGGGAGCAAACAGGAUUAGAUACCCUGGUAGUCCACGCCGUAAACGAUGAGUGCUAGGUGUUAGGGGUUUCGAUGCCCUUAGUGCCGAAGUUAACACAUUAAGCACUCCGCCUGGGGAGUACGACCGCAAGGUUGAAACUCAAAGGAAUUGACGGGGGCCCGCACAAGCAGUGGAGCAUGUGGUUUAAUUCGAAGCAACGCGAAGAACCUUACCAGGUCUUGACAUCCUUAUGACCUCCCUAGAGAUAGGGAUUUCCCUUCGGGGACAUAAGUGACAGGUGGUGCAUGGUUGUCGUCAGCUCGUGUCGUGAGAUGUUGGGUUAAGUCCCGCAACGAGCGCAACCCUUGAUCUUAGUUGCCAGCAUUUAGUUGGGCACUCUAAGGUGACUGCCGGUGACAAACCGGAGGAAGGUGGGGACGACGUCAAAUCAUCAUGCCCCUUAUGACCUGGGCUACACACGUGCUACAAUGGAUGGUACAAAGAGCAGCGAAACCGCGAGGUCGAGCCAAUCUCAUAAAGCCAUUCUCAGUUCGGAUUGUAGGCUGCAACUCGCCUACAUGAAGCCGGAAUUGCUA